AGCUUUGCGCAGUGGCAGUAUCGUAGCCAAUGAGGUUUAUCCGAGGCGCGAUUAUUGCUAAUUGAAAACUUUUCCCAAUACCCCGCCACGCUGACUUGCAAUAUAGUCAGUGUCGGCAAUUUUUUCAAGCUCUCUCGAGAG
ensembl:snRNA U4 U4 spliceosomal RNA